AAAACGUGUGUCUGCCGCUUGGAUGGCAUACGUACCGGCGACGGCGCGUGGGGUAUGAUUAUCAAGACAUAUUUAACACAUAAGCUUUGUAACGGAGAGGCAUUUGACCACCUACAAAUACCGGCGUCUCCUCUC